rnacentral:rRNA from 1 species
UUUUAUGGAGAGUUUGAUCCUGGCUCAGGAUGAACGCUGGCGGCGUGCCUAAUACAUGCAAGUCGAGCGAACGGACGAGAAGCUUGCUUCUCUGAUGUUAGCGGCGGACGGGUGAGUAACACGUGGAUAACCUACCUAUAAGACUGGGAUAACUUCGGGAAACCGGAGCUAAUACCGGAUAAUAUUUUGAACCGCAUGGUUCAAAAGUGAAAGACGGUCUUGCUGUCACUUAUAGAUGGAUCCGCGCUGCAUUAGCUAGUUGGUA